rnacentral:lncRNA from 1 species
AACACCGCUUCCCAGCUCUUUGGGAACGGAAGCCUUGAUGAAAACUUCGGGGAAAGUUGUAGAACUGGCAAGUGAAAUGACCUCGUGGCGUCAUUCUGGGGAAUUAACUUCACAAUAUACGUCAGAGAAUCCCUUGGACACAGGACUUGUGAAGAAGAAAUCUGAUUUCUCUCACUAAGUGGGACUGCCUGGAGCUUCCUUCCCUACCUGCUACUUCAUAAGGAUCAGAGCCACCACGUGACCAGCUGUUGGUCUCCACCCUCACAGCAGAAGAGCAGCGUUUGUCACACAGUGGAAGUGCUUCUCUGUUAUGUCCACACUGCAAGAGCUCUCUGAUCUAGGACAGCAGUCCAUCAUUUGGAAGGCCACUAUGAGGGCACUCCUGGGAGCACACAUAUUCUCUGUGCUGCUGAGAACUGAGGGUAGACACAGACCAUGUUGUGUGUCAGAGUCAAUGCAAGGCAGCAUCAGGAUGGGAAGCCAUGCUAAUGACAGACCCGAAGGGAGUAAAGACCCGGAGUCCAUGAGCUGCCUGGAGUUGGGGUAGGACCGGCCUCUCACCCGAGUCCUUAAGCUGUGUCUGCCCCCUGAGUACAGAGGGGUAAGUGCCACACAGAACAAGGCACCAUGAAGAGGUGUAUGUACCCCUCAUGUGUUGAAAUCCCAGCCCAUGUGCCUGUCAUAGGAGGUAGAGUUUUGGAAGGUGAGUGGCAUAUGACUUAGUUGUCCCAU